GUUCACUGGGGGCUGCGUCUGAACUAGGGACACUGGCUGAGCUCAUAGUCCGAAUGCUCUUCGGAACCGCUAGGUCUUCUCUGCAGUCCGAGAAGGGUUCCUUUCCGGGGUCUUAUCCUUUCGUUUCUUCGGAGCUCCCUCGCUUCAGCUGGUUAACAAGCCAAGGCAUCUUUGCUCUCUGUGAAGGUCUUCCUGGGCCUGACAGUAUCUGUGCAGGAUCUUGAGACUCUGAGAUCAGGAAGAGCCUGAGCUUGUGCUGGCCGCCUUAGUUCGGCAGAUUCUAGAUCAGGGCCGGCUUUCGGCAGGGCCACACGGAAGCCUCGCCAUUCUCUUGCAGAGAACUUAAUAUCUGCUCUUUCAGUUCUCUAGAGUGAUACACGUCACUGUCGUUGCCACCAGCCCUGGGCCUUUCACCAGGAGCCAGAUUUUGGCAAUAGGAAGCGUCUAGAUGGAGGGAAAGAAGAAGAGCUAGAGGGCUCUAAGCAGACCUGGGAGCAGAGAGGAAAAGAUGAAGAGGCAAAGGAAGAAGAAAUGGAGAUACAGUGGAAGAAGAUGAAAAAGCACGAGGUCAAGCUCUGUCUACUGAAAGGACCUAGAAGCAAAGAUUCCCCAGUAGCAAGAAGCACCUAGCACUCAAAUCUUGGCAUCUAAGAGCUCCUCAAAGAAAUGACUGAUUCCAGAGCUGGGCCAAGGUGGCAGUGUUACUUGAGUAUCCUGGUUUAGAAAAAAAAAAUCCGAGGAACCUGAUGGGCAACGUGUACUUCAGACCAGAACAUGGGAGCUAAGGGGACCGAGAAAAUUCUCUUUGUAGAACCUGCUCUAUUCUCUCUACUCACAGAAGAUGAAAAUGCUGAAAUGUUGUCAGUUUCUAACACUGGUAGACCUCC